AAAUCUAUUUUUAGAACACAUCCUUCAUACAAGGCAAGAGAGAAAUACGCAUAAAAAGGUAAUUCAACCAGUAACAACAUGAGUUGUUAAGCUCUAUGCCGACAUGAAUUAAAUCAGAAAGUUCAACCACAAAGCUGCAGGGCCACAGUUCCAAGCAUUUCCAGCAUGAGCACAAAGAGAAUCAUAUACAGGCAUGAUUUUUCACUUUACACGCUUCCUAGUCUCAGUCCUUGGAUCAAUACAUUAUAAUUGCUAACCUAACAUAAAAUCAAAAACUUAAACUCGGGAUUCAUAUUUAAUCAAAGUUAUAUGAUCAUAUUUUCAGACGAAAUAUCAGCUUCAUUUCCAU
rnacentral:misc_RNA from 1 species